GUCUCCUUAGCUCAAUUGGGAGAGCGCCAGACUGAAGUACUCAGUCAUUCUAUCUGGAGGUAUCGUGUAAGUACAGCAGCGUGCAUACCUGAAUUCUGCCGAGUAUUAAUCCGUCGCAGGUUCGAUCCACGAAGGGGACA